AGUGAACGCUGGCGGUAGGCCUAACACAUGCAAGUCGAACGGCAGCACAGUAAGAGCUUGCUCUUACGGGUGGCGAGUGGCGGACGGGUGAGGAAUACAUCGGAAUCUACUUUUUCGUGGGGGAUAACGUAGGGAAACUUACGCUAAUACCGCAUCCGACCUACGGGGGAAAGCAGGGGAUCUUCGGACCUUGCGCGAUUGAAUGAGCCGAUGUCGGAUUAGCUAGUUGGCGGGGUAAAGGCCCACCAAGGCGACGAUCCGUAGCUGGUCUGAGAGGAUGAUCAGCCACACUGGAACUGAGACACGGUCCAGACUCCUACGGGAGGCAGCAGUGGGGAAUAUUGGACAAUGGGCGCAAGCCUGAUCCAGCCAUACCGCGUGGGUGAAGAAGGCCUUCGGGUUGUAAAGCCCUUUUGUUGGGAAAGAAAAGCAGCAGGUUAAUACCCCGCUGUUCUGACGGUACCCAAAGAAUAAGCACCGGCUAACUUCGUG
rnacentral:rRNA from 1 species